rnacentral:tRNA from 1 species
UGCGGUAUAGCUCAAUUGGUAGAGCACCUGACUCUGACUCAGGGUGUUGCAGGUUCGAGUCCUGCUACCGUAG